CCUACGGGAGGCAGCAGUAAGGAAUAUUGGACAAUGCUCGCAAGAGUGAUCCAGCCAUGCCGCGUGCAGGAAGAAUGCCCUAUGGGUAGUAAACUGCUUUUGAACUAGAGAAAACCCCAGUACGUGUACUGGGCUGAUAGUAUAGUUAGAAUAAGCAUCGGCUAACUUCGUGCCAGCAGCCGCGGUAAGACGAAGGAUGCAAGCGUUAUCCGGAUUCAUUGGGUUUAAAGGGAGCGUAGGUGGACUGAUAAGUCAGUGGUGAAAUCUCCGAGCUUAACUCGGAAAUUGCCAUUGAUACUGUUGGUCUUGAGUACAGUUGCUGUGGGCGGAAUAUGACAUGUAGUGGUGAAAUACAUAGAGAUGUCAUAGAACACCGAUUGCGAAGGCAGCUCACAAAGCUGUAACUGACACUGAGGCUCGAAAGUGCGGGGAUCAAACAGGAUUAGAUACCCUGGUAGUCCGCACCGUAAACGAUGAUUACUCGCUGCUAGGGGGCAACCUUUAGUGGCUUAGCGAAAGCGAUAAGUAAUCCACCUGGGGAGUACGCCGGCAACGGUGAAACUUAANAGAGAGAGNGNGNGAGAGNGACGAGACGACGAGGAGGAGAG
rnacentral:rRNA from 1 species